rnacentral:lncRNA from 1 species
UCACGCUGGGAGCUGUAGACCGGAGCUGUUCCUAUUCGGCCAUCUUGAAUUGUAGGCAUUUUUAAAAACAGACUCUGGAGAUGAAUCUUUUCUAGUUAUAUACUUUGUAUUACAUUUAUGCACUGUCUGCUGCCAAAGAUCUGAAACCAAUGAUCUCAUAUAUAUGGUACAGUUUUCUAGUUAUUUACAGUGGGAGAGUAAAUUAUCCAUGCUCAGAAGUAGUGUGUACUAGUCUCAGUAAGUCAAUGGGUUUCCCUGGAUCCAGGCUUGGAGAAAAUGUUUUCUCUUCUCUAUCUGCAAUUCUCCUGAACCAAUUCUGACGGAUAAUAUGACUGUGUCAACCACAAAAGAGGAAAAGAAUGGGCUUUAAAUCCCGCCUUUACAGCCAUCCAAGGCAGCUCCUUCUUCAAAGGAUGGAACUUUAAGGAUGGAACCAAUUGGCUACAAAUCAUUUUAGCUGAUGCACUGAGACAAUUCUGAAGCAAACUGUCUUAUCCUGGAUUUUGUCAGUAACUGGAGUUGAAGGACUUGAAGAUUCUCAAGGAUUGAUCCAGAAUAUGUUCCAGCAAAAACUACAGCAGAGUAACUUUGACAAGAAAAAUGUUCACUUGCUACCUAAGGAGAGUCUCUGUCUCCUGACCUCUGAAUUUCGAAAUCCUCAGCUCUGGCUGCCACGCAGUGGGAACCGAAUGAGAUGGCUGGGCAGGGUUCUGCAACACAGCAGAAACCCCAGGCUUCCCAAGACCCAGGAUCAGAACUGUAUAAUGUCACUUCUGCCUCACUUUGUUGGACAAAGUAUGUCACAAGAUCAUCUCAGUGGUGGUAAAAUUAUUAUUAUUAUUAUUUUAAGGCAGAGUCUCACUUUGUCACCCAGGCUGGAGUGCAGUGGUGUGAUC